rnacentral:rRNA from 1 species
GAUGAACGCUAGCGAUAGGCUUAACACAUGCAAGUCGAGGGGUAACGUGUUGGAAGCUUGCUUCCGAUGACGACGACCGGCGGAUGGGUGCGUAAUGCGUAUGCAACUUGCCUCACAGUGGAGAAUAACCCGGAGAAAUCCGGACUAAUACUCCAUACACUCUUAAGUACGCCUGUACAUGAGAGGAAAGAUUUAUCGCUGUGAGAUAGGCAUGCGUCCUAUUAGGUAGUUGGUGAGGUAACGGCUCACCAAGCCGACGAUAGGUAGGGGUGCUGAGAGGCAGAUCCCCCACAUUGGGACUGAGACACGGCCCAAACUCCUACGGGAGGCAGCAGUGAGGAAUAUUGGUCAAUGGAGGAAACUCUGAACCAGCCAAGUCGCGUGAAGGAAGAAUGUCCUAAGGAUUGUAAACUUCUUUAGCGAGCGAGUAAGGACUUCCACGUGAUGGGAGUUUGAAAGUAGCUCGAGAAUAAGUAUCGGCUAACUCCGUG